CUUUAAUAUUAAAAUUACAAUCGAUAUUGUAACGCUUUCACAUAUUUUUUUAUUAACGAUCUAAUUAUCAUUGACUAUUCAAAUAGUAUCAGUAAUAAAUAAAUAACAUAUUCGCACAAGAAUUUUUAUUAUUAGCAUAACAUAAAUUUAAUCAUGUGCCAAAGUGCAACAGCAGCGCCAUCUACUCGGAAGAUCGAACUUGAGAACAAAAGGAUCGCGAUUGGACGAUUGAAAAGAAAGAGAGAAGGUAAAAAAAAUCAAUAGAAUACAUAUUGCAUGAAUUAAGCUAUCCUCGAUCCUCGUAGAUUUUGAAUCGUUCUCCUUCCAUCCUCGGUGUUUCACGGGCGGAAAUAUCGGGACAAAACGAUGAAAUCUCUUUCCCGGAUACGAAACAAAUAUCGAUACUGGUGCUGGAUACCGUGAGAUAUCUUUUCAUUCGGGAAUUUAGGUUUUCUAGGUUUGUUGAACGAUAGGGAAAACGAUGUUGUACAUCCAAACCGAGAUAGAUGAAAAAUUGAUAGAAACGUGAAACAACGCUGGCUAUACAGGAUGUUGUUCCAGUUUUUAAAAUAGCUUUUGCCCGAAAUAAUAAUUGUGAAGUAAAAAAAAAAUCUUUAUUAAUGAGCCGUAGCAAAAAUACGAGACACGUAAUUUUUGAAAUCAUCUUAACUAGUAUUCUCUGCAUUAUUAUUCUCUGUUAACUGUAUUUUAUUAAUUGCAAUUGUUUUGGUGUAAUAUAAAUCUUUAACAAGCUUUACAUAAAAGAAUCAUCUCGAAAAUUUUUUCUUCUUCUCCUUGUUCUUAUUUCUUCGCGAGAUUCCAUGGAAAUAUUUUAAACCUUUUCUCUUUUACUUUCUCAUUCAGGAAAGAUUUUAUCGGAGGGGGAAAAAGAAAAAAAAGAAAAAGAGGAUUCGAGAUGAAAGUGCUCAAAAUCAUACUCGAUUCUAACCAGUUGUUGCUGCUUUUGUUGGCUCGCUUCGUAAGAGAGCUUCGUUAUUUCGUUUCCCUUCUGCCCUUACCUUGUUCCUGCUGUUUUCUUCUCCACUGGCAAUGGACCUGCUGAAUUAUGUAUGACUGACGGUAAAAGUUCUCUCCGCUGGAGAGAUUGGCAGAAUUUCGGCAGAGAACCACUCGGAUCGAAGAGGAUUGGUUUUGUUUUGAAAUUAGAAGUAAAGGAAGUGAGCAAGCAAAGCGAAAUCACCGUAUUAAUACAUUUUUUAAAGUUUUAACGGAACGAUCAAUGAAUUAAUCAAAAAUUAACAAAUAAAAUACGCUACGAUUAAAAUAUGAUGAGUGUCUUUCCUCAACAAUGCGAAGAGAUAAAAAAAAAAACGACCAUGUAUCGCAUUUCUUAAUUAUUCCUUCAACUUUAUCGAGGAAGAAAUGCAAUACGAUGUGGAAAAAAAAAACAAGCAAAAUUUUUAUUACCGGCGAGCUUAUUUUUCCGAGAAGGAAGAGCAGCCUAUUCUCACGGAAACUUGUUUAAUAAAAAAGUUUUGCGGUAAAAUAUGCCAAUGCAGUCGUUCUCCAGACUCCGCGGGGACUUGUCGUAAUCUCAGACGUUCCAUUUUGAUUAUGUAAAUUCGAACCUCGAUUGUACUGGACAGCGAAGCGAAGAAAUUAAAAAAAAAAAGGGAAAGAAUUCGAUCGACGGCUCCAUUCUCGAGUCGAAACAAUUGCUCCUCUAUCCAACGAAAAUGGCACAAAUAUAUCGAGACGAUCUUAAACAUAACUGGACUCUUACUGGAGUAAGAAUAUUCCAGGAUGAACGAGACAAUAAUAAUAUGGAAACGUCAAAUUCGAGCAUCACUCCAAGGAUCAUUUACAUGGAGCAAGAAGUAAGAGGAAGAUGAAGUUUCAGGACGUGCAAGUACAUCGAAGACCGGUUCCGUGGCUGUACAGUCGUUAUCCACGGCACAAUGCCCAUUCAGUCGCUUUACCGGCAUGAAAACGUACCGAUCGAGCAAUGGCCGCCAACCUUCUGUUAUCGAGCAUCCGAUCGAAAAGAAUUCGACGUGACGAAAAAUUCGACUGGCCAGUGGUCAUCAUUUUUAAAAUCUGAAGGGGUGGAUUGAUGGAAUUUUGAAAGUUUUUAUCUUAACGGAUUGAUUAAUUCGUUGGAGUUAUUUACCAAUUUUUGAAAUUGGGAUUUUUUAUUUCGAAUCUUCGUGCGAAAUUUAAAUGUGUAGAACGUACAGAAAAUAAUAACAUUUGAAGAUUAUGGCAUAUUUCUAUGUAUGCAAGCUCGUUAAAGUUUUAUUUUACCCAUAGGAGAAAUGUUUUUUCGUUUUCCAUUAGGGAAACGAGCAAAAUCGAAAAUGAAAUUGUCAACAAUUUUUGGAACAUUUAUAUCAUCGAGUAACAACGUGUUAUUUUCAAUUAUAAUACAUGUGACGAAUUAUCUGUUUUAUGAAAGCUACCUCUUAUGAAAACAAUAUUGAAGGAAGCCAAUAUGACUUAUAAAAAUAUUUAUUUUAUAUAGUUUUAUGUCAGUUUAUAUAACUCAAUAUUGUUCAAUUUGUGACUUAUGGAAUUUAUGGGUAUUUUUUAUAUUAUUUUUCUACGUGUUAUACUUUUAUACAUAUCUAUAUUAUGAUUCAACUGAUGACUACAAUGCUCGAUACUUUAUAUAUUUAUUUUUAGAAAAAGUAUUAUAUAAUUAUAAUUUUUAUUUUAUCGAGCAUUAUUAAUUUUUAAAAUCACACAUAUUAUAAAUAAAAGUCUUCAUAUUUUUUUAAUCGUAGACUAAUUUGAUUUAAAAAAAAAACGUUGCAUGUCUUUCAGAAUUAUCUUAGAGCCUUCUUCAGGAUCCUCUUCAACGUGCCUUGAUGAAAAUCGUCUCUCUGUCGCAAAGAUCGUUUCAUCCUUUCGUUGAAGCUUGAAAAUGAAGUUUGACAAGUUUUACUAAAUUGAAAGUUGUAGGAUCGAUUUCAAGCGUCUAGUUCCAAGGAACCAGAUCCAUACGAAGCAAGGGGAUGAAAAGCAAUUACACUUGUUACUUUUCUUUAGCAUUUACAGUUUUUAUCCUUCUUUGAAGAACUCUUUUGAAAUACACGCAAAUACACGUAAAUACAUCUCUCUUUUCCUUUUUGUUUAUAAACAAAAAAGUAUUUUUUCCGCCUCGAAACAUUGCAUUUUGCAUUUAUAUUUUUUUUUCUUUCUUCGGCUCUUUCUUCGUCCAACUACUUUCUAGAAAGUAGAAAACUUAUUUUGAGCUUCUUUAAGCUCGAUUGAACUUUAAGGCCACACUUUCGAACGUAUCGUUGGAUUAAGUGGGCUAAUUUCGAAACUUUUAUCUUAUGGUCAUGUAUAUCGAUGCUUCGAUAGUUUCAAGACUAGAGCAUGAUCUUAGAUACUGCACGUAUCAUCUGAUUCGUGAUUUUUCGAUAAAUACGAUUUUUUUUUUAUAUUAUAUCAACGUUAAAUUCGAACACGUUUUAGCUAUUUAAAAAAUUUGUAGUCUGAUGAUUUAUAGAUGAUUAAAUUCUUUUACCAAGCUUUUUAA